UUUAUGCAAGUAAUGUCUUUCUGUUGAGGAAUCAACUGAAUUUGAUUGCUGGUGUAAGUGAAGUUUCAUAGGAGAAGCUACUAUCAUUAGUUGCCGAGAGAUUCUUAGUUAUUGUGAUUUUACGUUGUCUUUCUAUUAAAGAUGGGUUAUCAUAUCUUGAUUUUAAAUUAAAUUGUAUUUUUACAUUAUACAGCAACAUUAACAAUCAAAGUUGGAAGCUGCAAUUCCUGGUGAUGUUGAUAACAUUUGGACUGUAUUGACGAAUCUUAUCGGCAAUGUCAGUGAGAACACCGGUGAGAAUAAUGCUUCUCUUGUGAGAUGCAAUUAUCAAAACGAGGAUGGUAAAAGAAGCAUGAGGCACCGAGAAUCAUCUUAUGCAGUAGGCAGAAAGCUAUGCUAUCUAAUAGUUGCCAUGGGUUUGCAAGUAGUCUGGAGCUUAAACUUCACUUUGAUGGAUGCCUAUGCACUGGCGAAGAAAAGAGUGCUCCACAAUUGAAUCCUUGUUAGCCUUUUGUAAUCGGAGAUUGGAGUUGGACGAACUGCUCGAGUGCUCGCAAGGGGAGUCAGGAACUGCAGUUGUCUUUCAUUUAUCCAAGGAGGAAGCAUAUGUAAAAUUUCUGCAGAUUAGGAGGGUUCCUCUCCAGGAACGGGAGUGCUCAAAUAAUGCUCCUGAUAUUAUUCCCCAGAUAAGAUCUAUCGCAAAAAAGGACCGUGAUGUUAUGUAGAAAGGACAAAAUCCUUUGUCUCUUUUGUCCGUGCAUAUAAGGAGCAUAAUUUCUCCUUCAUUUUCAGGU